AAACCCUCCCUCUUAACUCGGGUGUGUUUUUGUGUGUGUGUGUUAAAAAUCUGGUACCUUGGAUCGCGAUGUGUAACUGCGUUGUGGGUCUCUUUUUCUUUCUCUCUCUAAAAACCUGACAAUUUCUUCAGAACCAACCAAUCCCUAAUCUUUCUCUCUCCUCUCUUAUUUAUAUCCCCUCUUCCUUAACUUCUCUUCUUCAGAACAACCUCUGAAACUUCUCAUUUCUCUUCUUCACUUCUAUUCUUUUUUCUCUCUCUCUUUUUUUUCAGAAAAAAAAAAAAGAAAUUAGGGAAAAGGGUUUUAGUUUUAGUGAGAAAUAGGAAAAAAAAAGAGGGUGCUUUUUUUAUAUGUUUCUUUCUAAAUCUUGUUCAAGAAAUUAUAUUAUUAGGGUUAGGGUUUUCUGAGUUUUUCUUUUUAUUUUAUGUUAUUUUGUUAUGAUACGACAGCGUUUUGGAGGAGAUUGUUAUACCAGCCGUUGUUUGCUGAUGCAGCACCAUCAAGAUUCACAUGCCCAUCUUCCUUGGCUUCCACCAUUUUUUUUUCUAUUUUUUUAAUUUUUUUUUGGGGUUUUUUCUGUAUAAAUAAAUGUGUUAAGAAAAUCCCAAAAAAAAGAAAAAAAAAAGGAAAAAAAAUGGUGAAGUGAUAAGGAGGUAAAGGAUGUGAGAAUCUUGAUGAUGCUGCAGCGGCAAUAAAUGGCUAAUUUUCUCUUUAUAUUAUCAUAUGUUACCUCAAUAUGAAGUGUAUAUUUUGUCACUUCAUGUCAAGUGUAGGUAAAUCACCCUUUUAAUAUUAUUGUUUUUUUCUUUGGCAUUUUGUUGUACUAACCAUUUCUUUAAAAUUUAGCCGAUUAAAUUAGUUGACAUCUAUCGGUUACAUCGGUUUUAUAAUUUGAACUAGUAGCGUGACAACUAAUUUCCGACAUAAAUUUUAUAUAAGGGUUGUUUGAGAGUAAUAGUACUUUGAGUAGGUGGAUCUGAGAAAAAGUGACCUAAUUAAUUUAGUUGGUGAAAGCUGAAGAAUUUGCAACUAGUAAGUUGUUGCAAGUAGCAGGAAGAAUUAUAUGAUUAUGUCUGUACUUUUGCAGGAAACAAGAUACUAACUUCAGGUUGAAAUUUUUCAGACGGCUGAUUUAAUCUGAUUUGAUGUGAUUUCUGUAAUGAAGGUACAAAUUUUGAGGUCAGAUUCUCAAUAAUUUUGUCACUCUCUCUAUUUUUUUCUUUUAGAUUUUUCAAUGUUUGGUGUAGUGAUCUUCUGUGUCACAGGAUAUAAUCUAUUGUGUUUUUGCAGUAGUACUGUCCCUCUUUCUCCCCCACCAAACUUUUUUUAAAAAAAAAAAUUGUUUCUUUUGCAAUUUGUAGUUUCUUUUAGAUUUUUCAAUGUUUGGUAGUAAUGGAUUUUAUUUAUGGGUUCAAAGAAAAUUUAAUGGCUUAAGAUCUUGCAUUUUCUUCAAUUCUAUGUUACAUUACAUGUGAUUUACAAUUGUAUAGAGAAACUAAGGACAAAUUCAUGAAUUUUGUACAUAUUCUUUGCAAAUUUAAAUUUACUUACUUUUUUCCAAUUCUUCUAAAAGAUGCGUCAAAUUUACCCUAAUUAUUGCUCGUUUAUCUAAGAAUCAUGAUAUGAUGGUAAGCGGCCUUCACUCUUUUACAUGCCAUAAUUUUUAUCAUACAUUUUGUUGUAUGUAUGUCUAAAAGGCCGAGAUUACACCUGAAUGUAUAAUGGAUAAGCUCUGUAGAUGUCCUGCGUGCCUAUUUGUAAACCACUAGCCAUUAGGAGGAUAUUAUUAGGAGCACUAACAGUUUUUGUUUGCAGAUGAUGAGGCAGAAACUACGACAUAAAGCGGACUUUUACUUAGAUUUGUUAUAGUACUUGGGAGCAGUACACACUUCCUUGGGUAUCUCUAGCUUUAGACUGUUAUCAUAGUUAGGUUACACACUUACACCUCAUGUUUUUAACUAUUCCUUUUGACAUAAAAGUCUGAAUACUAAACAACACUACGCUAUGAUAGAAAAUAUUAUAUCCCCGGAAGAAAAAUGUUCCAGUACUUUGGCCACUAAAAUUAUUUUCAUUUGGUUGUAUAUGGAGUUCAUUUGAUUUCUUCUCUAAAGGCUACCAAAAUUAUGAAGUCAUCUGAAUGAAAAAAUGAUGGUACGAUGCACGUUCUUCAACAUGACUUCUUUCAAAAUGAAACAUAACUAUGUGGAUUUCAUGUAGGGGUUUGUUCUCGUCAAUUUACUUUUGCUUAACGUAAUUUACCUUUGUUAGGUUCACGUUAUCUUUAUUGACCUUAGCUUAUUUUUGCUUAAUUAUUGUUAUAUUUGUUGGCUUAAUUAUUUUUUUGCUAAACAUAUGUUGUUGAACAAUAAAUAUUUUUGCAAAAAAAACUUCGCUAUUUCAAUCAAAUACUUAAACUUAUUUUUGUUGAUUAUAACUUAUUAUUUGCUCAACUUAAGUUAAUGUUGUUGAACUUUGCUUGAUUUUGGUGAACUUAACUUAUUUACUUCAAUAAUCCAAGAAGAAUAUGGGAAUUUUUGUUAUACACUCGGGUGUACUAUGCUCAUGGUACACCCAAGGCUGUGUUUUUGCUCAUUGCUAAUUUGAAACCUCCAAGUGAGCAUAAUCACAUAAUAUGUAGAGCUUCACAUAAGCAAAUGAGUAAAAAAUAGCCUUGGGUGUACCAUGCACAUGGUACACCAAAGUGUAUGAUGAAUGCACUUGAAGAAUAUAGCCUAACAUUAAUUCAAUCCCCUUAAUUUUUAUUUGGUUAAUUUUGCCUUGAUGAUAAUUACUUUAUAAUUUCUUUUUUUAUGGGAUUCAAUUUUUUUUUGCUUACAGAGCUUAGAGAUUAUAACAAUUUUUCGAGUGGGGAGGUAUAAUUGAAGAUUACAAAGAAAUCAAGAUGCAUAUCCUCUCUCCUGUCAUCUACAUUACUACAUACUUCGUUUUUUAUUUAGUUUUUUUAGGUUUACUUUAAAAAGACAUAUGAUUCUAAGUAAGAUGACGAUAAUUAGGAAGUAAAUUUUAAGGAAUCGAAUAACUUCAUAUAAUCAUAUCGCACAUAAUUUACAUGGGAGUAUCUUUCAUGAGUAUGUACCUAAGUUUAUGAAUCUUAUUCUACUCUAUUAAACAAAGUUUUAUUAAGAGAAAAUGUUAUCUUUCUGACCAAAUAAAGACCAAAAACAUGAAAUAUGGAUAUUCUGAGAGUAUUACACAUUAAUAAAGUGCUUUGCAUCUAGAAAAAGAAAUUUCAACUUACAGCUAUGUGUUAUAUGAAUAUUUACGUGCAUCUAUUAUACAUGAGUCAAAUGUGUCCUAUUUUGAAGAAAUGGAAGUAAUUAAUGCUAAUCCUUAAGUUAAAACUGAAAGGGUGGUCUUUGGUGCAAGUAUGCAAGACUAUGUAACAUGUAAAGAGACUUUUAGAUGAGUGUUCUAGUUCAUUGGAUAAGUAAUUAAGUAAACUAUUUAUCUAUAUAUCAUAUGUUAGCACCUUACAUUAAAAACUCUCGUAGGAUAGGCAAAGACUGUGUAAAGGUUGCUAUAAUUUUAUGCAUCAUCGAUGUGAAUUUAUAAGGCACUAAGCUGCAUGCCUUCAACACCCCUAAGUUGAAUUUGAAUUACUAACAUUCUCCAAAUUGAAUCUAAGCCUGUAUAAGAAAUCACAAUUCGAGCAAGAGUCUUUGGUUAAUUCCAAAAAAAUGUUCUAGUGGAUAUAAACCCUAAUUUGCGAAUAUCAUCUAUGUUAUACUAAAAAACCCUAAAUUGGGUCCAUUGGAAUUACGUACAAUUGUUAAUAUGAUUCAAGAGAUCCCUUUUAUUCGACAACUUUAUAUCUCGUCAUCACGAUUGAUAAUUGUCUUUAUGUUAGUCAAUUUCUCAUCAUUGAGUACUGUCGGUUUUUCAUCAUAGACACCAUUGAGCUUUAAUUCGAGUGGGGAUGAAGAGUGGAAGAGAGAUCGAGAGACAUUAAAAAGACAAAGAGUAAAGAGGACAAAAUACUUAGUGGAUGACAGCUGUUUCCAGUAACUCCAUUGGUCCAGAAUUGUAUAAUUUUUUCCUUGUACUACAUUUUUCCUAUAAUAUGUUCCCCAUCUUGUCUUUUGUUAGCAAUAAUUAUAAUAUUGUUAACAAUAACAAUAAUAACAAUAUUAUUAUUGCUAUUACUAUUAUUAUUAUUAUUUCUUUUGAUAAAUAAAAAAAAUUUAUUACCAAAA